ensembl:snRNA LOC120102089 U1 spliceosomal RNA
AAACAGUACCUGGCAGAGGAGUAACCAUGAUCACUAAGAUGGUUACCCAAAGAAAUGUGCUUUCCCUGAUGAUCUCCCCAAAUGUCACAAACGUAGCUGCAUAUUUUUUGGUAGUGGGGCUCUGAGUUGUGCUCUCCUCUGUA